rnacentral:rRNA from 1 species
UACGUAGGGGGCUAGCGUUGUCCGGAAUCAUUGGGCGUAAAGCGCGCGUAGGCGGCCAGAUAAGUCCGGUGUGAAAGUCACAGGCUCAACCUGUGAAUGCCCGCUGGAAACUGUCUCGGCUAGAGUCCGGAAGGGGCGAGUGGAAUUCCUGGUGUAGCGGUGAAAUGCGCAGAUAUCAGGAGGAACACCAAUGGCGAAGGCAGCUCGCUGGAACGGUACUGACGCUGAGACGCGAAAGCGUGGGGAGCGAACAGG